UGGGCGUAAGCGUACGCAGGCGGUUUGUUAAGCAAGAUGUGAAAGCCCUGGGCUCAACCUAGGAACCGCAUUUUGAACUGGCAGACUAGAGUCUUGUAGAGGGGGGUAGAAUUUCAGGUGUAGCGGUGAAAUGCGUAGAGAUCUGAAGGAAUACCGGUGGCGAAGGCGGCCCCCUGGACAAAGACUGACGCUCAUGUACGAAAGCGUGGGGAGCAAACAGGAUUAGAUACCCUGGUAGUCCACGCCGUAAACGAUGUCUACUCGGAAUCUGGUGUCUUGAACACUGGGUUCCUAAGCUAACGCAUUAAGUAGACCGCCUGGGGAGUACGGCCGCAAGGUUAAAACUCAAAUGAAUUGACGGGGGCCCGCACAAGCGGUGGAGCAUGUGGUUUAAUUCGAUGCAACGCGAAGAACCUUACCUACUCUUGACAUCCAUAGAACUUUUCAGAGAUGAAUUGGUGCCUUCGGGAACUAUGAGACAGGUGCUGCAUGGCUGUCGUCAGCUCGUGUUGUGAAAUGUUGGGUUAAGUCCCGCAACGAGCGCAACCCUUAUCCUUAUUUGCCAGCACGUAAUGGUGGGAACUUUAGGGAGACUGCCGGUGAUAAACCGGAGGAAGGUGGGGACGACGUCNAGUCAUCAUGGCCCUUACGAGUAGGGCUACACACGUGCUACAAUGGCGAGUACAGAGGGUUGCGAAGCCGCGAGGUGGAGCUAAUCCCAGNNNCUCGUC
rnacentral:rRNA from 1 species